rnacentral:misc_RNA from 1 species
GCUUCUGCUUGCCAUCGCCGUCGUCCGGCGGCGACGCGACUCGGACCAGCCACGCCUCGUGGCCGUCGUCCGGGUGCGCGGGGCCCCGCGCCGACCCGGGCAUCCGCGCGCACAGCGGGUGCACGGCGACCCCGCACGCGACGCAGGCGUAGCACGCGCGCUCCACGGCCUCGCCGCACACCUCGCACCCGCCGCCGCCGCCGCUGCCGUCGGCUCCCGCGGCCUCGCGCCGCCUCAGCCUGUGCAGCGGGUGCACGGCGGACCUGAGCGUCCUCGGGGAGCGGCGCGCGCACGCCUCGUGGACGGUAAAGCUGCAGCCCGGGUGGGCGCACCGGUACCGCGGGCCGGCGCCAGCGACCAGGCACCCGCCGCAGGUGAAGUCGUCGCCGCCGGCAAUGGGGAGCAGCCGGUGCGCCCGGUCGUGGGCGAAGUAGGCUACGGAUUUCUUACUCCCGCACAUGCUUGCAAUUGGCAGCUGCGCCUGCGGGUCACUGGUUCGGCAUCGGCUGCUGCACAAUCUCCAUGGCUGUUAGCCUCUGUAUAUAUAAUGUGAAAACCGUGGUAAAAAUAAAAUUUCUGCAACGCAACGACAACAAGUCCCCUCGUGGCCACCAAAUCCUGUGGAAAAUUUGGUGCGAGUUGGCGGGGACUCAUUGGCUUGGCUCGCUCCAUUUGUCCUGAAGCACCAGGCGGACUUGACCGUCGACUCGACUCGGCGGAGCAGAAAGGAACAGGCAG